rnacentral:rRNA from 1 species
AACGAACGCUGGCGGCAUGCCUAACACAUGCAAGUCGAACGAACCCUUCGGGGUUAGUGGCGCACGGGUGCGUAACGCGUGGGGAUCUGCCCUUUGCUUCGGAAUAACAGUUAGAAAUGACUGCUAAUACCGGAUGAUGUCGAAAGACCAAAGAUUUAUCGGCAAAGGAUGAACCCGCGUAGGAUUAGCUAGUUGGUGGGGUAAAGGCCUACCAAGGCGACGAUCCUUAGCUGGUCUGAGAGGAUGAUCAGCCACACUGGGACUGAGACACGGCCCAGACUCCUACGGGAGGCAGCAGUGGGGAAUAUUGGACAAUGGGCGAAAGCCUGAUCCAGCAAUGCCGCGUGAGUGAUGAAGGCCUUAGGGUUGUAAAGCUCUUUUACCAGGGAUGAUAAUGACAGUACCUGGAGAAUAAGCUCCGGCUAACUCCGUGCCAGCCGCCGCAGUAAAAC